rnacentral:rRNA from 1 species
GACGAACGCUGGCGGCGUGCUUAACACAUGCAAGUCGAACGGAAAGGCCCUGCUUUUGUGGGGUGCUCGAGUGGCGAACGGGUGAGUAACACGUGAGUAACCUGCCCUUGACUUUGGGAUAACUUCAGGAAACUGGGGCUAAUACCGUAUAGGAGCUCCUGCUGCAUGGUGGGGGUUGGAAAGUUUCGGCGGUUGGGGAUGGACUCGCGGCUUAUCAGCUUGUUGGUGGGGUAGUGGCUUACCAAGGCUUUGACGGGUAGCCGGCCUGAGAGGGUGACCGGCCACAUUGGUACUGCGAUACGGCCCAGACUCCUACGUGAGGCAGCAGUGGGGAAUAUUGCACAAUGGGCGGAAGCCUGAUGCAGCAACGCCGCGUGCGGGAUGACGGCCUUCGGGUUGUAAACCGCUUUCGCCUGUGACGAAGCGUGAGUGACGGUAAUGGGUAAAGAAGCACCGGCUAACUACGUG